AGUCUUAUAUUCAAUAAUGAUUUUAAAUUGCAAAUUUAAAGGUGAUUUCUAAAUCUAAGGCUU
rnacentral:tRNA from 1 species